CAGCAGCCACGGGAAUACGUAGAGUGCAAGCGUUAAUCGGAAUUACUGGGCGUAAAGCGUGCGCAGGCGGUUCGUUAAGACAGAUGUGAAAUCCCCGGGCUUAACCUGGGAACUGCAUUUGUGACUGGCGGGCUAGAGUAUGGCAGAGGGGGGUAGAAUUCCACGUGUAGCAGUGAAAUGCGUAGAGAUGUGGAGGAAUACCGAUGGCGAAGGCAGCCCCCUGGGCCAAUACUGACGCUCAUGCACGAAAGCGUGGGGAGCAAACAGGAUUAGAUACCCCCGUAGUCCCUGUCUCUUAUAC
rnacentral:rRNA from 1 species